GGAAGAGCCAUAGCACAGUGGUAGAGCAUCUGCCUUCCAUGUAGAAGGUCCCAGGUUCAAUCCCCACCACCUCCU